GCAAAACGCGAAGAACCUUACCUAGGCUUGACAUGCAUCUCUAAGCACGUGAAAGCGUGUGACCCUUCGGGGAAUUUGCACAGGUGCUGCAUGGCCGUCGUCAGCUCGUGUCGUGAGAUGUUGGGUUAAGUCCCGCAACGAGCGCAACCCUUGUGACUAGUUGCCAGCACGUUAUGGUGGGAACUCUAGUCAGACUGCCCAGAUCAACUGGGAGGAAGGUGGGACGACGGUCAGGUCAGUAUGGCCCUUAGCCUAGGGCUGCACACGUACUACAAUGCCCAGCACAAUGAAAACCGAGAACCGCGAGGUGGAGGAAAUCUAAAAAACUGGGACCCAGUUCGGAUUGGAGCUGCAACUCGCCUCCAUGAAGUUGGAAUCGCUAGUAAUGGCGCAUCAUCUACGGCGCCGUGAACUACGUU
rnacentral:rRNA from 1 species